CACUCUGGUAGCCUAGUGGUUAGAGCGUUUGCCUCAGAUGCGGGAGGUUGUGGGUUCGAUCCCUGGUCGAGUCA